GCGACCUACCUCACGGGAUCAGUGCAUUGUUUUGUAGGCUGCGCUACAGUCUGGAACUGUGCGAAUGCACCAUACCUCGAUGAAGAGGCCGAGCGAUCCCUUCUGAGCGCGAAGCCGUGAGGUCCAGUUUUGCGGCUGCCGCCCUUGGUGAACGUUCCUCGUUUUCCUUGACCACGCGUUGGUCGGAGAAGAGGAGGAAGGGGUCGCAGUCCGAGCGGU
rnacentral:snoRNA from 1 species